GAUGAAGAACGCAGCGAAAUGCGAUAAGUAAUGUGAAUUGCAGAAUUCAGUGAAUCAUCGAAUCUUUGAACGCACCUUGCGCCCUUUGGACUUCUGAAGGGCAUGCCUGUUUGAGUAUCAUGAACACCUCAACUCCUUAUGGUCUUCCAUGAUGAGCUUGGACUUUGGGGGUUUUGCUGGCCUACAGUCAGCUCCUCUAAAAUAAAUCAGCUUACCGGUGUUUGGUGGGUAUCAUGGGUGUGAUAACUAUCUACGCUCGUGGUUUUCCACCAGGUAACCUUCAGCAGUGGAGGUUCACUGGAGCUCAUAGAUGUCUCUCCUCAGCGAGGACAGCCCUUUGAAUGUUUGAUCUCAAAUCAGGUAGGACUACUCGCUGAACUUAAGCAUAUCAAUAAGCGGAGGA
rnacentral:misc_RNA from 1 species